UGCGUCUCUGUGUGUGUGUGUUUGUGAGAGAGAGAGAUAUCCAUAUGUGUGUGAGUGGAUAUGACCAUGCAUGUGCAUGCAAAGGCCAGAGCAGGACAAUGGGUUUGAUACCUCGAACACAUAUAAAAAUUCCAGGGGUGGUGAUAUGUGCUUAUUUUUAAUCUCAGCAAUGAAGAAUUGGAGAUGGCAGAUCCCUGGCCAGUCAGCCAAGCCCACUUAACAAAUUUCAAGUCAAAUACCGUGUCUCAUAAAACAAGACAGACAGCCCUCUCUGAGGGAUGACACUGACAGAUGUCCUCUGACAUCCACAUGCAUGUACAUGCAUACACAUGAAUGCACCCAUGUGUGCAUACAUGAACAUACACGUGCACAGUACAAAUUUCAGAAUAGGCAGAAGCAUCUCAUAAUAUGUAAGAAAAUUUUUUAAAAAUGUUAGGUCUAGAAAAGGAAAACUGUCAUAUUCAAAUGUAUAUUCAUAAAAAGUAUAAUAACCUUUACAUACAAGACAAGAUAUUCUCAGAUCAUUCUUAGGAAAAGGUGGUUGGCUCUGAGAAGGGCCAGCUUUGCCUGGAGGUUGAGUGAGGGGUGGAGGUUACUGAUCAGAGUGGGGAGACUCUGCCCUAGGGCAGAAAGGGAGCCCCUUCCUGAAUGUUGUGGGGACGUCUUCCUGCAGCACCAAGGGACCCGCUGGUCUGGCCCAGUCUGUGUAGCUUUCUGACCUCUCCCUCUUCUCCUAGCCCUCCUGCUGGCCUCCUGAGAGCUGACCCUCAGCAAACGUCUGAAGCAGAUGCUGGAGGUGGUCCUAGCCAUCGAUAACUUCAUGAACAAGGGACAGCGUGGGGGCACCUACGGCUUCUGGGUCGCCAGCCUCAAUAAGAUCGCAGAUACCAAGUCCAGCAUUGACAGGAAUAUCUCUGCUCCUUUACCUGAUCAUGAUCCUGGUGAAGCACUUUCCUGACAUCCUAAACAUGCCAUUGGAGCUGCAGCACCUCUCAGAAACUGCCAAAGUCGAAAGACUCCAGAAAAGGCCAGCCAAGGACAAAGAGUAAG